rnacentral:rRNA from 1 species
AUUGAACGCUGGCGGCAUGCCUUACACAUGCAAGUCGAACGGUAACGCGGGGUAACCUGGCGACGAGUGGCGAACGGGUGAGUAAUAUAUCGGAACGUGCCCAAUAGUGGGGGAUAGCCCGGCGAAAGCCGGAUUAAUACCGCAUGAGACCUGAGGGUGAAAGCGGGGGAUUCGCAAGAACCUCGCGCUAUUGGAGCGGCCGAUAUCAGAUUAGGUAGUUGGUGGGGUAAAAGGCUACCAAGCCGACGAUCUGUAGCUGGUCUGAGAGGACGACCAGCCACACUGGGACUGAGACACGGCCCAGACUCCUACGGGAGGCAGCAGUGGGGAAUUUUGGACAAUGGGCGCAAGCCUGAUCCAGCCAUGCCGCGUGCGGGAAGAAGGCCUUCGGGUUGUAACCGCUUUGUC